UACGGGGGGGGCAAGCGUUGUUCGGAAUUACUGGGCGUAAAGAGCUCGUAGGCGGCUUGUCACGUCGGAUGUGAAAGCCCGAGGCUCAACCUCCAGCCUGCAGUGGGUACGGGCAAACUAGAGUGCGGUAGGGGAGAUUGGAAUUCCUGGUGUAGCGGUGGAAUGCGCAGAUAUCAGGAGGAACACCGAUGGCGAAGGCAGAUCUCUGGGCCGUAACUGACGCUGAGGAGCGAAAGCAUGGGGAGCGAACAGG
rnacentral:rRNA from 1 species